CCUAUAAGGUAGUCUCUGUAUUGAGCGAUUGUAGAUAUUACUUUUUUAAAAUUUGGUUUCCGAAUAAAUGACCCUUAGAAGUGCACACAUACAGCACUUAUAAACAGCAGUUUUAGAAAUACUGUCUGCAAAUGUUAUUCCUAAAGAGUUGCCAACUUUGGAUUGUCGUUGCACUGAUUGCGACUUCCUGUUUUGCUAAUGGUGUUGUAGCAGUGUUUACGGCAUGCGGGGGACAACUCACGGAUCAAGCAGGAGUUAUCCUUUCUCCUAACUUUCCAAAUAACUAUCCAGAUGAUGCUAACUGUCAGUGGAAUAUAACGGUAGCUCCAAAUCAGAUUAUAGAUU
rnacentral:sRNA from 1 species